CGGGGCGUAGCGCAGCCUGGUAGCGCACUCGGCUGGGGGCCGAGCGGUCGGAGGUUCAAAUCCUCUCGCCCCGACCA
rnacentral:tRNA from 1 species